rnacentral:snoRNA from 1 species
UGGGAGUGAUGAAAUUUUCACCUUAGGUAGAUACGACAGACUGUUCUGGUCGUUAACUGUAUCUGCCAAUGCUGGGGUUUGUCAUAGUUACACUGACCA